rnacentral:lncRNA from 1 species
CAAGGUUGCUGAUCUCUCCGGAUGGUAGAGUGGCUUUUAGUCAAGUUCAGAUCCUGUCUGGCCAUCCAGGUGCAGAUGUGGACCAAGUACCUCCUCAUGCCCCAGAAUGCAUCACGGCAUG